AGCUGAGUUUUUGUUGUUAUUGGAGCUGGGUUUGAAAGAUCCAGUUCUGCAAGCGAUCUCCAAAAGAUUACUGUGAAGACUCCACAAGUGUUAUAAAUGAGGACAAAGACAAGAACAAACACUGGCAGGGUAAAAGUUGUACUAAGGUGGGUUUACGUACCAUCAGGGGCCUCGCUCAAAGCUUUACCGGACAUCUCACGCUCCCCGACCAGCCAUACAUAGCCUGAGCCUGUCAUGUUGAGGAAGCGUGCUGUUUUGUACACGGCGGCUGCAUCUUCCUCACUAAAGGCAGACAGACAGUGUUCUAAGGUCUGUCCUGCUAAAAAGACCAACUGGUUAGUGCUAGUUUUGUGCUGGUCGACCAGCAAAGCAGGUACUGCAAAGGUUGUUGCUAAUGAAGUGCAGACAUUUUGGUGCACUGCUGAGAUAACAUCAUGCAGUAAACCUCUUACCUGGCAGAGAGAAUGAUCACUCGGGCCUCCAGCUCUUUGGCCUCCAGAAGCAGGGC